rnacentral:rRNA from 1 species
UACGUAUGGGGCAAGCGUUAUCCGGAUUUACUGGGUGUAAAGGGAGCGUAGACGGCGCGGCAAGUCUGAAGUGAAAGGCAGGGGCUUAACCCCUGAACUGCUUUGGAAACUGCCAUGCUAGAGUGCUGGAGAGGUAAGUGGAAUUCCUAGUGUAGCGGUGAAAUGCGUAGAUAUUAGGAGGAACACCAGUGGCGAAGGCGGCUUACUGGACAGUAACUGACGUUGAGGCUCGAAAGCGUGGGGAGCAAACAGG